rnacentral:misc_RNA from 1 species
CUGGACUGUCGCGAGGCCUACUACCGGGCAAGCCUUUUGUCCUCACUUCUGAACGAAGAGAUGUACCAGUAUUGGAGUCAGAAAUAUCAAACGUGUGAGAGGUCGGACCCGAGUCUAGUCGAUGAACUUUUCUUGGAAACCAUCCAGCUUCCUGAAUAUUAGUUUCAACCCAUUGAAUAUCCUUAAAACAUCAUAAGUUAAUGAACAAAUUAUGUUUGUGAAAUAUGUUUACCUUAUUAAAUUAUAUAAAGAAGAGAUCAAUCGGUCAUUUUAUAAUUGCACAGCUAUAAUUAAUAUCAAUAUAAAGAUACCAUAAGUCGACACGAACAUUUGACAAGUCGAUAAAGAUACCAAAAGUCGACACGAACAUCUGACAAGUAGAUAUAGACACUAUAUGUCGACACGACACGAACAUCUAACAAGUACAUUUAAGACACUACAAGUCGACAUGAUCUUAUAACAAGUCAACAUCACUUUCUGACAUUCGCCUUAAGUUACCAGACAAGUCUACACUAUACAAAACUUCUAUAUGUUCUCCUUAUUAAUUGAAUAAUGUAAAAUUUAUUUCUUUUCAUUAAUAGCUAAUAAAAAAGGAAGACAAUAACGAUUGAAAUCAAUUACCUGCGACAAAGUAAAAACAUUAAAUUUGUAUUUCUUUUUUGCAAGUGCUUAAUAUGAUUAAUUCAGCAACGUUUUGUUUUGGCGUUGCUGAAAAAAAACACUUUGUAAAGAAGUUUAAGCAGAGAUCAGAGGUAAAGUAUGAAUCACUGAGUCGAUUUCAUAGUCACUUGUGUUUUUUUUUAAUAUAUAGUUUUUUAGAGUAUAGAACAAUGAGUAUUGGAUGUCUUUAUUUCAGAUAUUGUCUCAUAGUCUUCUUGGUCAUUUGCAGUCAUGGACUGGGAGACAUUUUCAUAACCACUGACUUUUAAAAAGCAGUAUUUUUCUACGCAUAUGAAGAACUCCCAUCCCAUUAAACUGUUGGUCUUCGAGUAUAGGGUCUUGCUUAUUCUAUCUGUUAAUUUCUCUCGUCACUCACAUCGAAAAUAAAUGCAUCUCUUGCUACUUCAUUUCUAGUAACAACACAAUUGAUCACUCAGUUUGGUUCUCGGACCACAUCAAAGAUGCGCUAGAUUACUUGAAUACUCUUCGUUGGAGUCUUUUUGAACAUGUACUUUGUGUGGUUAAAGACUAUGAAAUGAGAUUGGACUUUCAGCGAAUGAUCAUGGACACAAUGUACAGAGAGAAGAUGGACUGUGAAAGCCAUCCAGAUUGUUCAGUGGAGAUUUUGGAGAAAUAUUACGUUUUCAACGAAAGAACAAUGUUCAAGGUGUUGAUUUAUCUUUGCCAUGGACUUUGUAGGCAAAAGAUGCAGGACAAUUUUACUUACUACUUUGAUGUUGUCAGGGUAGUUUGUGAAAAGCUGGACUGUCGCGAGGCCUACUACCGGGCAAGCCUUUUGUCCUCACUUCUGAACGAAGAGAUGUACCAGUAAUGGAGUCAGAAAUAUCAAACGUGUGAAAGGUCGGACCCGAGUCUAGUCGAUGAAUUUUUUUUCGAAACCAUCCAGCUUUCUGAAUAUUAGUUUCAACCUAUUGAACAUCCUUAAAACAUUAUUAGUUAAUUAAUAAAUUAUGUUUGUGAAAUAUGUUUACCUUAUUAAACUACUAAGAAUA